rnacentral:pre_miRNA from 1 species
CUGGUUGUAUUCUACAGUGCAUGUGUCUCCAGCGUGUUUAAGCAGCUGGAGAUACGGCCCUGUUGGAAUAACAGCCG